rnacentral:rRNA from 1 species
GACGAACGCUGGCGGCGUGCUUAACACAUGCAAGUCGAACGGAAAGGCCCUGCUUUUGUGGGGUGCUCGAGUGGCGAACGGGUGAGUAACACGUGAGUAACCUGCCCUUGACUUUGGGAUAACUUCAGGAAACUGGGGCUAAUACCGGAUAGGAGCUCCUGCUGCAUGGUGGGGGUUGGAAAGUUUCGGCGGUUGGGGAUGGACUCGCGGCUUAUCAGCUUGUUGGUGGGGUAGUGGUUGACCAAGGCUUUGACGGGUAGCCGGCCUGGGAGGGUGACCGGCCACAUUGGGACUGAGAUACGGCCCAGACUCCUACGGGAGGCAGCAGUGGGGAAUAUUGCACAAUGGGCGGAAGCCUGAUGCAGCAACGCCGCGUGCGGGAUGACGGCCUUCGGGUUGUAAACCGCUUUCGCCUGUGACGAAGCGUGAGUGACGGUAAUGGGUAAAGAAGCACCGGCUAACUACGUG